rnacentral:lncRNA from 1 species
GGUAGUAUGUUGCUGUUUAAGGCAAGAGCUCAUUGAUUUUCCUGCUCCAAUCAGGAGGAAGAUUGCUAUCCCUAGCUGAUGAAUCAUAUAAUUAUUGUUUACUUGAGCGAUGAAUCAUGAACAUCACAAGGUUCAUGUUGCUUUGUGACGAAACUUACAUAUAAUGAGCGGCAGAAUAAAACACAAACAAGAAGAGAACAUACUAGAUUGUUGCUUUGUGAUGAAACUUACAUAUAAUGAGCGGCAGAAUAAAACACAAACAAGAAGAGAACAUACUAGAUCAAUCAAGAAGGUGUCAAAAAU